UGAAUGAAAGUGCAAGCAAAAAAGGACAGGGAGAGAGAGACACUCAUACUGGCACUGACAGCAAGUGAGAGAGAGCAGCAAAUAGCACUCACAUCAUCUCUGGCUACGCUCCUUCUUCUCUCUGUUUUCUUCUGGCCGUUUUCCCUCUAUCCAUCUCUAUCACUCUCUCUCUCUCUCUUUCUCUCUCUGUUGUGUUGCUUCAGUGUGUAUUGCUGUUCCUGCUGCCACACUUUCUUUCUCUGUCCCUUCCUCUCUGUCCCUUCCUCUCUGUCACUCUCUCUCUCUCUCUCUCACUGCAUGUUAUGCUAUACUGCUGUGAAUUUAGUAUAAGUGUGUGAUCGUGCAAGGGAGCGAGAAAGAGAGAGAGAGGUGGUAGAUAGCAGGAUGAAAAGAGGCACAGGGGUUAUGGAGAGAGGGAGAGGGAAAGGGAAAAGAUGGAGAGAGGAGGAGAAAGGGAAAGAAGGAGAGAGAGAGGGAGAGAUAGAUAGAGAAAGAGAGAGAGAUGGCCUCUAUUGCACAUUAUUCAUGCACAGAGCUUAGAGAAAGCAUGCUCCCUGGCCCAGGGUAAGAGGUGCUCACCUAAAACACCCAGAAAGGCUGCCUCACCUGGAGUCAGUGCACAUUUAUGCUACAUCCACAUCAUGCUCAGAAGAUAGGAGCACAAGAGAAAGUCCAGGCCCUGAUGCUGUUGCUAGUGUCAUUGUUUACCUACAUUUUCAUAUUAUGCUUCCUUUUUGGAAAUCUGAUCAACAAUCUUUCUUGUUUUGCUAAAAAUCUUAAGAUUCUAAGAGAAUGCAGGUAUCUGGCAGACUGAUUAAGAACUGAAGUCCAAAAAAUCUGAGUGAAUGUUAAGACCGAAGCUUGAGCAUCGGAGCAUUUUAAUUUUGAUGAGAUGAUGAAACUUAAAGAACUGAAGACCACAAAAGACCAAAAGGGAACCGUGAUGAGGAACAUGGACUUGGAUGAAGUAUGUAUGAACCACGAAGAGAGAUACAAACAUGGAUGAGGUAUGUAUGAAGGAUGAAGAGGGACACAAACUCAGAUGAGGCAUGCACGAAGCGUGAAGAGGGACACUGACUCGGAUGAGGUAUGUAUGAAGCAUAAAGAGGAACACGAAUGAGGUAUGUAUGAAGUGUGAAGAGGGACACGGAAUCGGAUGAGGUAUGUAUGAAGCAUGAAGAGGGACAUGGACGCGGAUGAGGUAUGUAUGAAGCGUGAAGAGGGACGCGGAUGAGGUAUGUAUGAAGCGUGAAGAGGGACAUGGACUCGGACGAGGUAUGUUUGAAGCAUAUAGAGGGACAUGGACGAGGUAUUUUAUGAAGCAUAAAGAGGGACGCGGAUGAGGUAUGUAUGAAGCGUGAAGAGGGACGUGGAUGAGGUACGUAUGAAGCGUGAAGAGGGACAUGGACGCGGAAGAAGUAUAUAUGAAGCGUGAAAAGGGACACGGACUCGCAUGAGGUAUGUAUGAAGCGUGAAGAGGGACUUGGAUGAGGUACGUAUGAAGCGUGAAGAGGGACAUGGACGCGGAAGAAGUAUAUAUGAAGCGUGAAAAGGGACACGGACUCGCAUGAGGUAUGUAUGAAGCGUGAAGAGGGACUUGGAUGAGGUAUAUAUGAAGCGUGAAAAGGGACACGGACUCGCAUGAGGUAUGUAUGAAGCGUGAAGAGGGACUUGGAUGAGGUACGUAUGAAGCGUGAAGAGGGACAUGGACGCGGAAGAAGUAUAUAUGAAGCGUGAAAAGGGACACGGACUCGCAUGAGGUAUGUAUGAAGCGUGAAGAGGGACUUGGAUGAGGUAUGUAUGAAGCGUGAAGAGGGACGCGGAUGAGGUAUGUAUGAAGCGUGAAGAGGGACGCGGAUGAGGUAUGUAUGAAGCGUGAAGAGGGACGCGGAUGAGGUAUGUAUGAAGCGUGAAGAGGGACGUGGAUGAGGUAUGUAUGAAGCCUGAAGAGGGACGCGGAUGAGGUAUGUAUGAAGCGUGAAGAGGGAUGCGGACGCGGAAGAAGUAUAUAUGAAGCGUGAAGAGGGACACGGAAUCGGAUGAGGUAUGUAUGAAGCCAGAAGAGGGACGCGGAUGAGGUAUGUAUGAAGCGUGAAGAAGGACACGGACGCAGAAGAGGUAUAUAUGAAGCGUGAAGAGGGACACAGACUCUGAUGAGGUAUGUAUGAAGCGUGAAGAGGGACAUGGACGCGGAUGAGGUAUGUAUGAAGCGUGUAGAGGGACUCGGAUGAGGUAUGUAUGAAGCAUGAAGAGGGACACGGACGCGGAUGAGGUAUGUAUGAAGCAUGAAGAGGGACACGGACGCGGAUGAGGUAUAUAUGAAGCGUGAAGAGGGACACGGACGCGGAUGAGGUAUGUAUGAAGCGUGAAGAGGGACAUGGACGCGGAUGAGGUAUAUAUGAAGCGUGAAGAGGGACGCGGACGUGGAUGAGGUAUGUAUGAAGCGUGAAAAGGGACACGGACACGGAUGAGGUAUAUAUGAAGCAUGAAGAGGGACACGGACGCGGAUGAGGUAUAUAUGAAGCGUGAAGAGGGACACGGACGUGGAUGAGGUAUGUAUGAAGCGUGAAGAGGGACAUGGACACGGAUGAGGUAUAUAUGAAGCAUGAAGAGGGACGCGGACGUGGAUGAGGUAUAUAUGAAGCAUGAAGAGGGACACGGACGCGGAUGAGGUAUAUAUGAAGCGUGAAGAGGGACAUGGACGCGGAUGAGGUAUGUAUGAAGCGUGAAGAGGGACACGGACGCGGAAGAGGUAUGUAUGAAGCGUGAACAGGGACUCGGAUGAGGUAUGUAUGAAGCGUGAAGAGGGACAUGGACGUGGAUGAGGUAUGUAUGAAGCGUGAAGAGGGACAUGGAUGCGGAUGAGGUAUGUAUGAAGCGUGAAGAGGGACAUGGACGCGAAUGAGGUAUAUAUGAAGCGUGAAGAGGGACGCGGACGUGAAUGAGGUAUAUAUGAAGCAUGAAGAGGGACACGGACGCGGAUGAGGUAUAUAUGAAGCGUGAAGAGGGACAUGGACGCGGAUGAGGUAUGUAUGAAGCGUGAAGAGGGACACGGACGCGGAAGAGGUAUGUAUGAAGCGUGAACAGGGACUCGGAUGAGGUAUGUAUGAAGCGUGAAGAGGGACAUGGACGUGGAUGAGGUAUGUAUGAAGCGUGAAGAGGGACAUGGAUGUG